UACGGGGGGAGCAAGCGUUGUUCGGAUUACUGGGCGUAAAGGGCGCGUAGGCGGCCUCUGCAAGUCGACUGUGAAAUCUUCGGGCUUAACCCGGAAAGGUCAGCCGAUACUGCAGGGCUAGGGUGCAGAAGGGGCAACUGGAAUUCUCGGUGUAGCGGUGAAAUGCGUAGAUAUCGAGAGGAACACCUGCGGCGAAGGCGGGUUGCUGGGCUGACACUGACGCUGAGGCGCGAAAGCUAGGGGAGCGAACGGG
rnacentral:rRNA from 1 species